UUACCAUGCAAGUCGAGCGGAGUUGUGGUGCUUGCACCAUAACUUAGCGGCGGACGGGUGAGUAAUGCUUAGGAAUCUGCCUAUUAGUGGGGGACAACAUCUCGAAAGGGAUGCUAAUACCGCAUACGCCCUACGGGGGAAAGCAGGGGAUCUUCGGACCUUGCGCUAAUAGAUGAGCCUAAGUCGGAUUAGCUAGUUGGUGGGGUAAAGGCCUACCAAGGCGACGAUCUGUAGCGGGUCUGAGAGGAUGAUCCGCCACACUGGGACUGAGACACGGCCCAGACUCCUACGGGAGGCAGCAGUGGGGAAUAUUGGACAAUGGGGGGAACCCUGAUCCAGCCAUGCCGCGUGUGUGAAGAAGGCCUUUUGGUUGUAAAGCACUUUAAGCGAGGAGGAGGCUACUCUAGUUAAUACCUAGGGAUAGUGGACGUUACUCGCAGAAUAAGCACCGGCUAACUCUGUGCCAGCAGCCGCGGUAAUACAGAGGGUGCGAGCGUUAAUCGGAUUUACUGGGCGUAAAGCGUGCGUAGGCGGCUUUUUAAGUCGGAUGUGAAAUCCCUGAGCUUAACUUAGGAAUUGCAUUCGAUACUGGGAAGCUAGAGUAUGGGAGAGGAUGGUAGAAUUCCAGGUGUAGCGGUGAAAUGCGUAGAGAUCUGGAGGAAUACCGAUGGCGAAGGCAGCCAUCUGGCCUAAUACUGACGCUGAGGUACGAAAGCAUGGGGAGCAAACAGGAUUAGA
rnacentral:rRNA from 1 species